UCAGCCCAUCGCACACGGGACGGGAGGCCCACUAAAAAAAGUAAAGCAAAAUCUCCUGUGAGUUCGUCGGGAAAGUGUGUCUCGAGGACGGAGGCGACGGCACGGACGCUGACCUAGGGACGCCGACGGACACAAGAGGGCCUUCUCUCCGGUUGUCAGGAGUAGGCUCUGUCGUUUGCUCAUCUGCUCUACAUCGGCGGCGAGCCGCUCCCGUUUGGCCAUCACUAUACCGGCCAUAGCGCCACUCUUCACGUCAAAGCUGACGACCGGUAUUAUUCACUAGUAUUUCAAAAUUAAUUGCCACAAGUAAGUUCAGUCAAUAAGCUCUAGCAUGUUGAUAAAUAGAAACAUCCACCGCUACUUCCAAAUUAAUCGCCACAGGUAAAUUUAGUCAAUUAACUCUAGCAUGUUGAUAUAUAGUUGGAAAAUAACCAGCUUUUCUGGGCGCGAAAACUUCCCAGAGACAGCAAGGUUUACUCUGAAAAUACAGUACACGCCUGGGCAUUCUUGCAUGGUUCCUUUUUAGUUGAUUUUGAGUGAUUGUAGUGUAAUGCUUAAGAGAAUAUUUCAUCUUCCUUUCUAUCUUGAUAUUUUCUACGUAGACUGGCCCUUUUCUGAACUAUACAUUUUUACUGUAAUUCAUAUAUCUUUCUGUUUUUGCAUCGCUAUUGACCUCAAGUUCAUUAUCAUGACCUGGAAGAUACAUGUAUGAUAGAUAUCACCAUUUAGGAUUUUUCUUAGCGAAUGCGCCUCAUUAAAUUUUUCGUAAUGUUGGCUGCAUGUGAAGAAAUCAGAUUAUAUUUUCUUUUGUUACUCUGUGUUUCCUUUAUUAGUCUUAGAAGAUUUAAAAUGAAGUUGUGAUAUUAUUAUUGAUGCAUAGAUUCAACCUGCCAUAUUUAUGGAGAAUGCACGAAUUGUAUAACACAACUUCAUAUAUAUAUGGUACCACUAAUUUGCGCAACACACUAAAGUUACACAGUAUAUUUUUAUACAGAGAAUUUCGAUGAAAUACCUAUCUUUGAAUUGGUGUUUGAUGCUUUUUGAAAAUGUCAAAAGGCCACACAUUGUUCCUUUGGUGCACAACUCCAGUAGUUAGAACGUCUACAUUUCUCUUCUACAACUGGAUUUCUUUCAUCUAGGCAUCCAUAGUCACAUCUUCUACUUCAAGCUGGGACUUGAUAGAAGAAGUUGUCUUGCUUUUUAAUGGAAAAAAAUUCUUUUGGAAUGAUGAGAUAUUUGAGAUAAGGGAAACAACUAGGAUGACCAAAACUCAGCGAUGAUUUACAUUUCUUUGUGACUUAGACACUGGGCCACCCCCUCUUCAAUCGCUCGCUCGAUUCCAUGCCCUGCACCCUCAAGUACCUCGGCUUCAUGUGGUGAACAGGCACCUCUAGAUAACCCUCCUACGUGCUUUAGUAUGACUUUAAUGUGUUGAAUUGAUGAGUGUAGAAUUUUAGUUAGUAUAGUUGUUAGCAUGUGAUAUUAUUGAGGUUGCAUGCUUAUGUAGUUCUGGUGCUGGAAGGCGUGUAUAGGAGAUUUGUAGUGAUCAUCCUUAAAUAUUCCAUUAAUUGUUGUUGUUUGGUUUUGAUUGUAAGGUAUUGUUUGCCUCAACUAGAGUACUUGGUGUGGUGGUGAAUUGAUAUGAAAUGUAGUUAAGUUUCCGCGUUGAAGAAUAUAGAUACUUUACCUGAUGUAAAAUUCUAUUGGCACUGGUAUAUUGCUCUCUGCUAAAAUUAUGCCCCUCCACUUCCUACUUCCUAAGCUUGGAAAAGAUGUCCUACCAAAACUAAUGUAGCUUGAUGAUUCUGUGCAGUAAUUAGAUGCAGAGAGUGUGAUGACACAAGCUCAUUCCUUGAUUAGGUAUUAAUGAUAUGUUCAAAUGCUUCAUUAUUAAUCUUAAUCAGAUUUCUAAUAAUAGGUGCUUCUGCACAUGCAUCCAUUUUUGUACUCCCUCCGAUCCCUUUUAGUUGACUUGGAUUUAGUACAAACUUUGUACUAAAUCUGAGUCAAUUAAAAUGGAUCGGAGGGAGUAGUAUUUUAAUUAAGUGUUCUUUCUCAUCUAAAAUAUCACCGGCUUUCUAUUGUGUAAUACUUGCUUCCUCCUUACACUUAUAAAAUUUCUAUAUGAUAAUAGUUUUCAACAUAUCCUACGUUGGAGAUAUUUUCAAAUCUUCGAAGUUGACUCCAUGCAAAUGUGCUUAGUUAGGCAAUUAUUCGUGCAUUAUAUUUCAGUCGUGGCAAUUUUAAAUAAUGGAUGUGUUGCUACCUUAAGUAUUUUUUAGUUUGGUUGGUUGGGUCAAUCUGACCCAUUCGAUAAUAUUUGCAAAAAAUAAAAACCAUUCUAUAGAUAUUUUGUCAUUAAUCAUGUGGUUUCAUAAUACUUGCUUGCGCCCUACACUUCUACACAUUUUAUCUGAUAAUAGUAUCUUUAUUAAUGAGUAUUUUCAUAAUAUAUUCCUGGUUUUAUGGUGUUUGAAGGUGGCACUCAUAUGGCAGUGCUGCCUCUCCCCUCGAAAUGAUCACGGGAGCGAAGGUGGGGCGAACUCCUCCAGUUGCCAUUGUCAUAGUGGGCUCAGAGCUUGGAUAUGAAUGUUGUUUUUUCUGUCCAUGUGUCUUAUCUCACUUCGUCAGCCUCAUGGGACUACUCGGGGUAAGAAAGUAAAACACAUUCAUUUGAUUUAUGUCUAUUGCCUUCAUGUUGUUAUUCUAUUCUCUUUCAGGUAAUGUAAAUUUGAUUCUUUUUAUUUCGUUUCAACAUACAUGCUCCCAAGAAUAUUCUUAGUUGUUGUACAAUAACACAACAUGUCCAAAUAUUUUUACAAUUGUGGCACCACACUGUGCCAUAAAACUAUUCAAUGUUUUUCUUUCUUUCUAAUUUUAGGCUGCAAUUUGUUUAGUUUGCACAACAUGGUCAUGCCACAAUGCUGACAUUAGUACUUUCGUGAAGUUUUUCUUUUGCCGUGAAAGGAAGGAGCUUUGUGGUGCAAUAUACAGGGGAUAAAAAGUUAUGUAUAAGGUGACGGAAUUCAAAUGGUCGAAGGACCAACCAACAGAGCUGAAGCAAGGCGUCAAGGCGACGGUACCAAAGCCACAACCUGUGAGAAAGUGAGAUAUCAAAGGCAAUUGUGCUACCUGUGAGCGAGGCCACGACGAAAGAUGCCCCUCUUAUUGGUUAUGAUUCAAUACUCCUUUAUAUUUUAGAACCUCAUGUUUGGUUGUACCUGGCUAUAGGUUACAUGUGCCCUAAUAAGGAAACAUAUGGGCCAUGGCGAAAGCCCGGGCGACAACAGCUUGGAAGAUGCCCCUUUUUUAGUUACAGAUUCAGUACUCUAUUUUACGACCUCCUGUUUGGUUAUGUUUUAGUGUACCUAGCUAUAGGUUACAUGAUGUAAUAAAGAAACACAUGGUCAAAAUCUGGAUACAAUAUGGAUGAUUCCUUAGCAAAAUUCAAAAGAUCAUACCAAAUAGACUAUGUUCCAAUUGGCUUUGAUGUCUUUGUUUAGAUGAUCUAUACUCGGAUCCAUUACACUGUGUUACCUGUGCCAUUAAGAUGCUUUCGUAGAAACAGAAACAGAAACAUAUAAAACGUACGCAUAGGAAUGCAACGUGCUAGCCCACGCAUGCAACAACGGGAGGCAGCCGGCGCAGCGAAGCGCGCAUGUCCGUCUAGUAUGCUGCAGGAAUUUCUUGAGGGUGCUGAGCCAACUGUCUUCAUGUACCCAAGGUGCAAAGUCUCUUUUAUUACUUUGAUUAAUAUCCUCAACUGAAGUGGAGGGCCUUUUUCAGUUCCGAGAUGAUUCUACUAACACUAUCUUACCUGCCAGUUUACUUCUGCGUGAAACAUGUUCAUUAGAUCAUUUAAAAAAGCAAUUUACAUUCCUUGAAGAGCAUUUGAGAAGGGAUCAACAGCUGCGCUGCUUGAUAGGCAACAUACUUCGUUACCAAGGCACGAUAUUGUCCAUGCUUUUCUAAUAUGGUCACGACAGAGUGAGGAUGUCGUUAUUGGAAUCAGAACUCGAGAAUAUCUUGAUGUUAUGAAAAACAACAUGCUCGAGGCCUAUGUCGAGCUUCUUAUAUUACAUGAAGUGCUAUAUCUGUGCUUGUUCUUAUGCAAUUUGUUUAUCCAAUGAUGUAGCUAAUUAAUUUGAUUUGCUUUUCAUUGGUCAUCGGCCUCACUUGUCUAGUACUAGUUAUUCUAGUUCAAUUGUCAGUCGUAGUUUUUACGAAGGAUAUACGAUAUAAAUGUACAAACAGAUAUUGAAGAGUGAACAAUUUUUUAGCUUAUGUGGAAUGUAUGCAAUUUUGGAUGCAUCGUAUAUAAAUGAAUUCUGUUACAUUAUUGAA